rnacentral:tRNA from 1 species
GGAGAGAUGGCCGAGUGGUCGAAGGCGCGCGCCUGCUAAGUGCGUGAUCCGAUUCGGAUCCGAGGGUUCGAAUCCCUCUCUCUCCGCCA